rnacentral:lncRNA from 1 species
CCGAGAUCCUACCUUGCCUCUGAGUGUCAUAGUCUGAGAAAGAUGUGGGCUACAGACUCAGAUACUGUACCUGAGGUACAGGUCAGGUGUCAUCAUUGAAGCCUGUGUAGGGGCUCUGGACCCUGGGCACCCUCCUUUGGCCAUCCUCUUCCUCACAGAGAAAAUGCCUCAAUCGUGUUCUUAAUUUUAAAAGGCUCUGCUGCACCUUUCAGGCAGGUUGGCUGAUCAGAGCAAGCCCAGCCAUGUCCGUGAGCCACCAGACGACCUCCACCACAAACCUCUGUGCAAAUGUGGUUUUCUAAACUGUGUCCCUCACAAAGAUCCUCAAAUCUGCCCACAUCCCAGCAAAUGUGGACAAACUGGGCAGAAACUCAACUCUAUGAUGACAGGACAUAAAACAGGGGUCGAUUUAAGUUGUGUGUCAAAGGCUGCUGGACACACUGUUCCUGAGGCAUCUAACAGAAUGGGAGCUGGGGACUGCUGGUCUAGACGGAGGCGUCAACAGAAAAGGAGAAAAAGCCAGUCCCUUUUGGAUCCCUAUGCCCUCCAGCCAUCCGGGCACACGGGGAAGGGAAGCUACCCAGCUGCAGAGCCGCGGAUGAGCUGAGCGGGUGCCGCACGCGCGCGCUUAGGACCUUCAGAGAGAAACGCUCUCCAGGCGCCCGGUGGACUCCAUACUUCAGGAACCCCAAUUCCCACGGGGGCCUCACCGAAGGAAUCACAAAAUGCUCAGGGAAAGCAAGGGUCCCCGAAGAGGCGA